rfam:Nomascus leucogenys chromosome 1a, whole genome shotgun sequence.
UUUUCGGUAUAAAUAUGUACCAUGAAAUAUUUGGCACAUAUUUAUACUAAAA